GAUGAACGCUUGCGGCGUGCCUAAUACAUGCAAGUCGAGCGAACAGACGAGGAGCUUGCUCCUCUGACGUUAGCGGCGGACGGGUGAGUAACACGUGGAUAACCUACCUAUAAGACUGGGAUAACUUCGGGAAACCGGAGCUAAUACCGGAUAAUAUAUUGAACCGCAUGGUUCAAUAGUGAAAGACGGUUUUGCUGUCACUUAUAGAUGGAUCCGCGCCGCAUUAGCUAGUUGGUAAGGUAACGGCUUACCAAGGCAACGAUGCGUAGCCGACCUGAGAGGGUGAUCGGCCACACUGGAACUGAGACACGGUCCAGACUCCUACGGGAGGCAGCAGUAGGGAAUCUUCCGCAAAGGGCGAAAGCUUGACGGAGCAACGCCGCGUGAGUGAUGAAGGUCUUCGGAUCGUAAAACUCUGUUAUUAGGGAAGAACAAAUGUGUAAGUAACUAUGCACGUCUUGACGGUACCUAAUCAGAAAGCCACGGCUAACUACGUG
rnacentral:rRNA from 1 species